rnacentral:rRNA from 1 species
UUUUACAUUUUAUCGAGAAUCGAAACUAAUAUUGAUUUAAUCAAACUUAAAAUGCCACAUUUUCUGUAAUCGUUCGUGUAAAGGAAGCUUCUUAUAUUUCUAGUAGCGAUGUAAGCUUUAUCAAGUAGACUAAAAUAGUAGGCUAAGUAUAUUUCUUAAACUGCGUGCCGAAAGAGAUUCUUAGGUGUAGGCCAACCGCGUAACUUUUUGGAAGACAGUUAAUCUAUUUGUAGCCAAUGUCGAACAGGCAAUCAGGAAAACUUGCAAUAUUUUAGUGCGGACUAUCUAGUGUUAUGCUGGGUAUAGAUUAGAAUCUAUACUCAAAAUUCUUUUUUUUGUGACUUGUUGUUGAAACGCGUUCUUAUGAUUUCUUUCAAGUAAUAGAACACUCGAAAACUAA